AUGGUGAGGCAUAAAGGAAAAGGUGGAAUGAGUUUUAAAGACCUUACGAUGUUCAAUCAAGCCCUCUUAGCACGGCAAGCCUGGUGUCUUAUGCAGUUUCCGGAAAGUCUCUGUGCACAGGUUCUGCGGGUCAAGUACUAUCCGGAUGGGUCCAUUCUUGACAUUGUCUUUAUCGACAAUGGAUCAUCAACAUGGAACGCCAUUGAGCAUGGCCUGCAAUUAGUGAAGUAG
rnacentral:rRNA from 1 species